rnacentral:rRNA from 1 species
GACGAACGCUGGCGGCGUGCUUAACACAUGCAAGUCGAACGGAAAGGCCCUGCUUUUGUGGGGUGCUCGAGUGGCGAACGGGUGAGUAACACGUGAGUAACCUGCCCUUGACUUUGUGAUAACUUCAGGAAACUGGGGCUAAUACCGGAUAUGAUCUCCUUCUGCAUGGUGUGGUUUGGAAAGUUUCGGCGGUUGGGGAUGGACUCGCGGCUUAUCAGCUUGUUUGUGGGGUAGUUGCUUACCAAGGCUUUGACGGGUAGCCGGCAUGGGAGGGUGACCGGCAACAUUGGGACUGAGAUACGGCCCAGACUCCAACGGGAGGCAGCAGUGGGGAAUAUUGCACAAUGGGCGGAAGCCUGAUGCAGCAACGCAGCGUGCGGGAUGACGGCCUUCGGGUUGUAAACCGCUUUCGCCUGUGACGAAGCGUGAGUGACGGUAAUGGGUAAAGAAGCACCGGCUAACUACGUG